UCCUCCGUAGGGGUAACCUGCGGAGGGAUCAUUACACAAAUAUGAAGGCGGGCUGGAACCUCUCGGGGUUACAGCCUUGCUGAAUUAUUCACCCUUGUCUUUUGCGUACUUCUUGUUUCCUUGGUGGGUUCGCCCACCACUAGGACAAACAUAAACCUUUUGUAAUUGCAAUCAGCGUCAGUAACAAAUUAAUAAUUACAACUUUCAACAACGGAUCUCUUGGUUCUGGCAUCGAUGAAGAACGCAGCGAAAUGCGAUAAGUAGUGUGAAUUGCAGAAUUCAGUGAAUCAUCGAAUCUUUGAACGCACAUUGCGCCCUUUGGUAUUCCAAAGGGCAUGCCUGUUCGAGCGUCAUUUGUACCCUCAAGCUUUGCUUGGUGUUGGGCGUCUUGUCUCUAGCUUUGCUGGAGACUCGCCUUAAAGUAAUUGGCAGCCGGCCUACUGGUUUCGGAGCGCAGCACAAGUCGCACUCUCUAUCAGCAAAGGUCUAGCAUCCAUUAAGCCUUUUUUUCNACUUUUGACCUCGGAUCAGGUAGGGAUACCCGCUGAACUUAAGCAUAUCAUAACCGGGAGGAAAG
rnacentral:rRNA from 1 species